GACGAACGCUGGCGGCGUGCUUAACACAUGCAAGUCGAACGAGUGGCGAACGGGUGAGUAACACGUGGGUGACCUGCCCUGCACUUCGGGAUAAGCCUGGGAAACUGGGUCUAAUACCGGAUAGUGUGGGAUGGGCCCGCGGCCUAUCAGCUUGUUGGUGGGGUAAUGGCUACCAAGGCGCGACGGGUAGCCGGCCUGAGAGGGUGGACGGCCACAUUGGGACUGAGACACGGCCCAGACUCCUACGGGAGGCAGCGGUGGGGAAUAUUGCACAAUGGGGGAAACCCUGAUCCAGCCAUCCCGCGUGUGCGAUGAAGGCCUUCGGGUUGUAAAGCACUUUUGGCAGGAAGACGGUACCUGCAGAAUAAGCACCGGCUAACUACGUGCCAGCAGCCGCGGUAAUUC
rnacentral:rRNA from 1 species